AUGUUCCUAAAUCCGUCACUAUCCGUCACCAAUCGAACUACUUCACGCGCACCCUCAUCGCGAUCCCAACCGCAUGUCACUGUCCAGAUUCGCCGGUUGUUGUUAAUAAAAGAAGAAAGAAGAUUUAAAGAUAUGGCAAAUUGGAAGCCUAUGAUUGCACCACCGCGACUCCCUCCUCCCCAUGGCCGCGAGAUCCGCCGCCGCGAGACCUCAACUGUCACUACACUCCUAGCGCUGCUACACGAACUUUGCUACUGA